UACAGAGGGUGCAAGCGUUACUCGGAAUUACUGGGCGUAAAGCGUGCGUAGACGGUUACAUAAGUCGGGUGUGAAACCUCCAGGCUCAACCUGGAGACGCCACCCGAUACUGGUGUGACUCGAGUCCGGUAGGGGAGCGUGGAAUUCCUGGUGUGAGCGGUGAAAUGCGCAGAUAUCAGGAGGAACACCGAUGGCGAAGGCAGUGGUCUGGGCCGAUACUGACGCUGAGGAGCGAAAGCGUGGGGAGCGAACAGG
rnacentral:rRNA from 1 species